rnacentral:lncRNA from 1 species
UUUCUUAGAAAAAUGCUAGGUGUCUUCAAUAUGAGCUAGUAAGAAACAUUUCUUCCAUCAGGGAAAAGUAACAAAUAGUUUGUAUAUGAGUGUAAGGAAGAUUUGACUAAAGAUUUUUCCUAUGCUGUAAUAUAUUCAUGAACUAUGGUUAUGAUGAUCUAGGAGUUUUGGUAUUGAAUACUGUUGUUGCGGGAGUUUCGGUUCCUUUAAGUUUCGAUUCGAGUCCAAUAUCUGAUAAUGACUUCUGUUGUAUAUCAUGUAUAUGGAAUCUCAUUAUUACCCACUAUUUCUAGUAAUUCGACAUAUGGCCUCUUAUUAUUAUCCACAACUAUCAGUUUAAGCCCCACAUCUAGCCUCUCAUUAUUUCUCAUUGGUAUCGUUUUGAGAUCGGUGCAUAUAUAGAGGGCUACUAAGGUUUCAUGGGAUUGGUUCAGAUAUGUAUUAUUUAUAUUUUACUUUAAAAUUACUUCUUGUGUGUCCCACCAUCUUAUGAGGGCACGAUUUGAUUAAUUUUUUUAUUUAGUGUGCCUUGCGGGCUUAUAGAGGCCCAAUUAGUUAUGUUUGAUUUCCCUUUAAUUAUUACAUUAUUUAUCUUUCUGUGUCACUUUUACUGAUUUCUUUAUCGUAUUUACGUAGCUCGAUAGUUGUUUACCUUUCUAUCCCUAUUUACUAUUGAGUUAGACAACACCCUCACAUUUUAGUUAUAAUUUAG